rnacentral:lncRNA from 10 species
CAAAGUGCUGGGAUUGCAGGCUUGAGCCACUGCGCCUGGCCAGAGUCCCAUAUUUUCUAUAAAACAAGCCUGAGUUUUUUUCUCUGUGGGCAAAAACAUCCCAGUUCUUUUCAGUAUAGCAUCCAAGUUUUACCAUCCCUAAAUAGCCUUGUUUAUGCUGUUCUCUGGACGAAUCAGUGUCUUCACAUUCUUUGUGAACUGUGGUCACCAUGAAUAGCUUAAAAACUCACCUCUGGGCCUCACGCAGAGCCUCAUGGCCUGUCUUCCUGACUGCACGGCAGCCUUUUCCAUACAUUCCAGCAGCAUGCGGACUCGUUUCUUAACAGCACUGUGGUGUUUGUGACAAAAGAUGAUCCUUGAGUUGCUUCCUUUCAUAAUCGUAUCUUGCUUUUUGUUUUAAAACCAAUUCUGCAUUUGUUCAUUAAAAAGAAAGAAAUCUGCCAGGCCCAAUGGUUUUUUAAAAAGGACUUCAUUCCUUCGUAUUGCCAAGUAGUAUUCCAUUGUAUGGAUUUAUAACAUUUUGUUUACCCAUUCACCAACUGAAUAUUUG